rnacentral:rRNA from 1 species
AGCAUGCGGAUUAAUUCGAUGCAACGCGAAGAACCUUACCAACUUGACAUGUUCUCGAUCGCCGUAGAGAUACGGUUUCCCCCUUUUGGGGGCGGGGUUCACAGGUGGUGCAUGGUUGUCGUCAGCUCGUGUCGUGAGAUGUUGGGGUUAAGUCCCCGCAACGAGCGCAAACCCCUCGUUUCCAUGUUUGCCCAGCACGUCGUGGGUGGGGGGGACUCAUGGGGGAGACUGCCCGGGGGGUCAAACUCGGGAGGGAAAGGGUGAGGGACGACGCAAAAUCAUCAGCCCCCCUUUAUGUCUUGGGGCUUUCACGCAUGCUACAAUGGCCCGGUACAAUGGGGUUUGCGAUACUG